UACGUAGGGGGCAAGCGUUGUCCGGAAUCAUUGGGCGUAAAGCGCGCGUAGGCGGCUUUGCAAGUCGGGUGUGAAAUCCCCAGGCUUAACCUGGGAACUGCAUUCGAGACUGCAUUGCUAGAGUAUGGGAGAGGGAAGUGGAAUUUCCGGUGUAGCGGUGAAAUGCGUAGAUAUCGGAAGGAACAUCAGUGGCGAAAGCGACUUCCUGGACCAAUACUGACGCUCAUGUGCGAAAGCGUGGGGAGCAAACAGGG
rnacentral:rRNA from 1 species